UACGUAGGGUGCGAGCGUUGUCCGGAAUUAUUGGGCGUAAAGAGCUCGUAGGCGGUCUGUCGCGUCGAUCGUGAAAACUUGGGGCUUAACCCUGAGCUUGCGGUCGAUACGGGCAUGACUGGAGUUCGGCAGGGGAGACUGGAAUUCCUGGUGUAGCGGUGAAAUGCGUAGAUAUCAGAAGGAACAUCAGUGGCGAAGGCGGCUUCCUGGACCAAUACUGACGAUCAGGUGCGAAAACGUGGGGAGCAAACAGG
rnacentral:rRNA from 1 species